ACCCGUCUAGCUCAGUCUGUAGAGCUCCAGCCUUUUAAGCUGGUGGUAGAGGGUUAGAGCCCCUCGGUGCGUG
rnacentral:tRNA from 2 species